UUAAGCGACUAAGCGUACACGGUGGAUGCCCUGGCAGUCAGAGGCGAUGAAGGACGUGCUAAUCUGCGAUAAGCGUCGGUAAGGUGAUAUGAACCGUUAUAACCGGCGAUUUCCGAAUGGGGAAACCCAGUGUGUUUCGACACACUAUCAUUAACUGAAUCCAUAGGUUAAUGAGGCGAACCGGGGGAACUGAAACAUCUAAGUACCCCGAGGAAAAGAAAUCAACCGAGAUUCCCCCAGUAGCGGCGAGCGAACGGGGAGGAGCCCAGAGCCUGAAUCAGUGUGUGUGUUAGUGGAAGCGUCUGGAAAGGCGCGCGAUACAGGGUGACAGCCCCGUACACAAAAAUGCACAUGCUGUGAGCUCGAUGAGUAGGGCGGGACACGUGGUAUCCUGUCUGAAUAUGGGGGGACCAUCCUCCAAGGCUAAAUACUCCUGACUGACCGAUAGUGAACCAGUACCGUGAGGGAAAGGCGAAAAGAACCCCGGCGAGGGGAGUGAAAAAGAACCUGAAACCGUGUACGUACAAGCAGUGGGAGCACGCUUAGGCGUGUGACUGCGUACCUUUUGUAUAAUGGGUCAGCGACUUAUAUUCUGUAGCAAGGUUAACCGAAUAGGGGAGCCGAAGGGAAACCGAGUCUUAACUGGGCGUUAAGUUGCAGGGUAUAGACCCGAAACCCGGUGAUCUAGCCAUGGGCAGGUUGAAGGUUGGGUAACACUAACUGGAGGACCGAACCGACUAAUGUUGAAAAAUUAGCGGAUGACUUGUGGCUGGGGGUGAAAGGCCAAUCAAACCGGGAGAUAGCUGGUUCUCCCCGAAAGCUAUUUAGGUAGCGCCUCGUGAAUUCAUCUCCGGGGGUAGAGCACUGUUUCGGCAAGGGGGUCAUCCCGACUUACCAACCCGAUGCAAACUGCGAAUACCGGAGAAUGUUAUCACGGGAGACACACGGCGGGUGCUAACGUCCGUCGUGAAGAGGGAAACAACCCAGACCGCCAGCUAAGGUCCCAAAGUCAUGGUUAAGUGGGAAACGAUGUGGGAAGGCCCAGACAGCCAGGAUGUUGGCUUAGAAGCAGCCAUCAUUUAAAGAAAGCGUAAUAGCUCACUGGUCGAGUCGGCCUGCGCGGAAGAUGUAACGGGGCUAAACCAUGCACCGAAGCUGCGGCAGCGACGCUUAUGCGUUGUUGGGUAGGGGAGCGUUCUGUAAGCCUGUGAAGGUGUGCUGUGAGGCAUGCUGGAGGUAUCAGAAGUGCGAAUGCUGACAUAAGUAACGAUAAAGCGGGUGAAAAGCCCGCUCGCCGGAAGACCAAGGGUUCCUGUCCAACGUUAAUCGGGGCAGGGUGAGUCGACCCCUAAGGCGAGGCCGAAAGGCGUAGUCGAUGGGAAACAGGUUAAUAUUCCUGUACUUGGUGUUACUGCGAAGGGGGGACGGAGAAGGCUAUGUUGGCCGGGCGACGGUUGUCCCGGUUUAAGCGUGUAGGCUGGUUUUCCAGGCAAAUCCGGAAAAUCAAGGCUGAGGCGUGAUGACGAGGCACUACGGUGCUGAAGCAACAAAUGCCCUGCUUCCAGGAAAAGCCUCUAAGCAUCAGGUAACAUCAAAUCGUACCCCAAACCGACACAGGUGGUCAGGUAGAGAAUACCAAGGCGCUUGAGAGAACUCGGGUGAAGGAACUAGGCAAAAUGGUGCCGUAACUUCGGGAGAAGGCACGCUGAUAUGUAGGUGAAGUCCCUCGCGGAUGGAGCUGAAAUCAGUCGAAGAUACCAGCUGGCUGCAACUGUUUAUUAAAAACACAGCACUGUGCAAACACGAAAGUGGACGUAUACGGUGUGACGCCUGCCCGGUGCCGGAAGGUUAAUUGAUGGGGUCAGCGCAAGCGAAGCUCUUGAUCGAAGCCCCGGUAAACGGCGGCCGUAACUAUAACGGUCCUAAGGUAGCGAAAUUCCUUGUCGGGUAAGUUCCGACCUGCACGAAUGGCGUAAUGAUGGCCAGGCUGUCUCCACCCGAGACUCAGUGAAAUUGAACUCGCUGUGAAGAUGCAGUGUACCCGCGGCAAGACGGAAAGACCCCGUGAACCUUUACUAUAGCUUGACACUGAACAUUGAGCCUUGAUGUGUAGGAUAGGUGGGAGGCUUAGAAGUGUGGACGCCAGUCUGCAUGGAGCCGACCUUGAAAUACCACCCUUUAAUGUUUGAUGUUCUAACGUUGACCCGUGAUCCGGGUUGCGGACAGUGUCUGGUGGGUAGUUUGACUGGGGCGGUCUCCUCCUAAAGAGUAACGGAGGAGCACGAAGGUUGGCUAAUCCUGGUCGGACAUCAGGAGGUUAGUGCAAUGGCAUAAGCCAGCUUGACUGCGAGCGUGACGGCGCGAGCAGGUGCGAAAGCAGGUCAUAGUGAUCCGGUGGUUCUGAAUGGAAGGGCCAUCGCUCAACGGAUAAAAGGUACUCCGGGGAUAACAGGCUGAUACCGCCCAAGAGUUCAUAUCGACGGCGGUGUUUGGCACCUCGAUGUCGGCUCAUCACAUCCUGGGGCUGAAGUAGGUCCCAAGGGUAUGGCUGUUCGCCAUUUAAAGUGGUACGCGAGCUGGGUUUAGAACGUCGUGAGACAGUUCGGUCCCUAUCUGCCGUGGGCGCUGGAGAACUGAGGGGGGCUGCUCCUAGUACGAGAGGACCGGAGUGGACGCAUCACUGGUGUUCGGGUUGUCAUGCCAAUGGCACUGCCCGGUAGCUAAAUGCGGAAGAGAUAAGUGCUGAAAGCAUCUAAGCACGAAACUUGCCCCGAGAUGAGUUCUCCCUGACUCCUUGAGGGUCCUGAAGGAACGUUGAAGACGACGACGUUGAUAGGCCGGGUGUGUAAGCGCAGCGAUGCGUUGAGCUAACCGGUACUAAUGAACCGUGAGGCUUAACCUU
rnacentral:rRNA from 1 species